AGUGAACGCUGGCGGUAGGCCUAACACAUGCCAGUCGAACGGCAGCACAGUAAGAGCUUGCUCUUACGGGUGGCGAGUGGCGGGCGGGUGAGGAAUACAUCGGAAUCUACUUUUUCGUGGGGGAUAACGUAGGGAAACUUACGCUAAUACAGCAUACGACCUACGGGUGAAAGCAGGGGAUCUUCGGACCUUGCGCGAUUGAAUGAGCCGAUGUCGGAUUAGCUAGUUGGCGGGGUAAAGGCCCACCAAGGCGACGAUCCGUAGCUGGUCUGAGAGGAUGAUCAGCCACACUGGAACUGAGACACGGUCCAGACUCCUACGGGAGGCAGCAGUGGGGAAUAUUGGACAAUGGGCGCAAGCCUGAUCCAGCCAUACCGCGUGGGUGAAGAAGGCCUUCGGGUUGUAAAGCCCUUUUGUUGGGAAAGAAAAGCAGCAGGUUAAUACCCCGCUGUUCUGACGGUACCCAAAGAAUAAGCACCGGCUAACUUCGUG
rnacentral:rRNA from 1 species